CUCUCAGCCGCUCCACGAGGAGAUCGCUCUGCACAAACACUUAAAGCACAAGAACAUCGUCCAGUACCUCGGCUCCAUCAGCGAGAACGGCUUCAUCAAGAUCUUCAUGGAGCAGGUGCCCGGAGGGAGCCUGUCUGCUCUGCUGAGGUCUAAGUGGGGUCCUCUGAAAAACAACGAGCCCACCAUCGGCUUCUACACACGGCAGAUCCUGGAGGGAGUCAAAUACCUGCACGACAACCAGAUAGCACACAGAGACAUCAAGGCCAACAACAGCUUCAAAAAAACUAUUUCCCUCAAUGAA